ACUCAAAUGAAUUGACGGGGACCCGCACAAGCAGUGGAUCAUGUGGUUUAAUUCGAUGCUACGCGAAGAACCUUACCGAGGCUUGACAUCCUGAGAAGUCCUCCGAAAGGAGGAUGUGCCUUCGGGAGCUCAGUGACAGGUGCUGCAUGGCCGUCGUCAGCUCGUGUCGUGAGAUGUUGGGUUAAGUCCCGCAACGAGCGCAACCCUUGUUGUCUGUUGUAUUUUUCAGGCAAGACUGCCCGGGCCAACCGGGAGGAAGGUGGGGAUGACGUCAGGUCAGCAUGGCCCUUACGCCUCGGGCCACACACGUGAUACAAUGGCCGGCACAACGAGCCGCGAAGCCGCGAGGCGGAGCUAAUCUCAUCAAAACCGGUCUCAGUUCGGAUUGCAGGCUGAAACUCGCCUGCAUGAAGCUGGAAUUGCUAGUAAACGUGGGUCAGCAUACCACGUUGAAUACGUUCCCGGGUCUUGUACACACCGCCCGU
rnacentral:rRNA from 1 species